CUGAUUUGUAAUCUUUGGAGAACCCUAUUUUCCGUACUAAAAUCGAACUAAAUGUCUUCUUCCCAAAGAUAUUAUUAUGAAUACCAAUUGUCCCAACAUGACAAUGACGCCAUUCCACCCAAUCCUGCAGAUGAUGUUUAUUAUAACAUCGUAAUAACAUAUAUACUGAAAAAAAGACAAAGUCCUGGUCAAGCUGAUGACGAGGAAACAUUAGGUUCACACUACAGGGGUUUUUACAUGCUUUCUUACAACCUUAUGGACCCUCAAAAUCAUUUAGAUACAGUUUUUAUGCGUCUUUGGGUGUGUGAUGAUGAUGUAAGGCAAAGAUUGGUACGGGACAUUAUGGAUUUUCCUAAUCAAAUAAGGGCGGAUCCAAUUAACGCUGGUAGGACAACAUUCGCAAUGCUUGUGUCCAUUAAGGUUUAUAUUGUACAACAAGAGGAUGAAACUGUUGAGGAUGCCAGGGAGAGGUCCAUUGUGUGUAGGUUCUGGAGUGAAAAUCCGUCAUUCAUUCAAUCGUUGGAGAAGGUUAAAGUAGAAAUUGAUAAUUCGGAACAAGAAGAGUGUUGUAUUUGUUUGAACAAGCCUUGUGUUGGAGAAGAAAUAUCCUUCUUACCAUGCUUGCAUGCUUAUCAUUCUACGUGUAUAAUCACUUGGCUAGCGAAGAACAACCUAUGUCCAUUGUGUCGCACGCCUAUGCCCUCGAAUUAACCCUCAAGGUUUCAUUGAAAUUCUUUAGGAACGGUAGUAUUGUUUAGAAUAUCAAGAUAUUCAACUUCGGUGCAAAAAGUUAGAAGUUGUCUCUAUGUUUCAACGCCCUUUUAUUUUCUGAUUUCUCUUGUUAGUUUGACCAGUGCAUUCCUUUUGAAUCUAUUGUUCAUUGCGUAAUACGGU
rnacentral:lncRNA from 1 species